UAGGGAAUCUUCCACAAUGGACGAAAGUCUGAUGGAGCAACGCCGCGUGAGUGAAGAUGGUUUUCGGAUCGUAAAGCUCUGUUGUUGGUGAAGAAGGAUAGAGGCAAUAACUGGUCUUUAUUUGACGGUAAUCAACCAGAAAGUCACGGCUAACUACGUGCCAC
rnacentral:rRNA from 1 species